AAGAGGGGAGGGAGGAAGGUUGUUUAUGUGGAGCUAGGAGGCAAUUGCUGCUUUCUGCACUGCACAGGAUCUGAAAACAUUUGUUUACGCCAGUGAACAUCAAAGUCGUGUUCAGAUAACGAAAAAACAAUCAACAGUAACCAAUGAACCAUGGCUGGUGGGCAGGAAUCCUCACACAAGAACAAAACCGCUGGACAUGUGCAGUGCAGCUAGCCUCAAAAACUCUGGAGCAGUGCCUGUGUUUUCAGUUCACCAGCUCAAACAGCUACAGGUUCUCCACUAACAAUUGGUCACAAGCAUAUGAAAGAAUUAAAUCAAAGACUGCAGUUAACAUCUAAACAGGAGCAAGGAAGACACAA